rnacentral:misc_RNA from 1 species
GAAAUGCGAUAAGUAAUGUGAAUUGCAGAAUUCAGUGAAUCAUCGAAUCUUUGAGCGCACAUUGCGCCCGCCAGCACUCUGGCGGGCAUGCCUGUUCGAGCGUCAUUUCAACCCUCAGAACCCCUUGCGGGAUCUGGCGUUGGGGAUUGGCAUCCAGCCAGCCCCGAAAUCUAGUGGCGGUCCCUCCACGACCUCCCCUGUGCAGUAGCGAUACCUCGCAGCGGGACAGCGGUCUGACCACGCCGUAAAACCCCCAACUUCUCAAGGUUGACCUCGAAUCAGGUAGGAAUACCCGCUGAACUUAAGC